GCCUCAAUAACAAUGACGUCAGCUAGACACGCCGCUUGAAGGCGGGGAUCGGGUCGUGCGUGGUGUCAGCUGAAAUGUUUCAGUUGGUGUUGGUUGCCCUGGAGACCAGGAAGCAUAGAGCAGUUCAACCUGUUCAGACUGGGACAAUGACAACAUCCUGACUAACAGCUAAAACCUAACAAGAUCUCUAGAAGCAAAUGUAUUUAGUCUGGAGGUCCCUCCCGGGGCCCCACAGUGUCUCAGAUGAUGAAGAGAGCUGGAAUGCAGGAAUGUGGAGAGAUAAUCCUGCAACCCCAGUGGAUACUGCUCAACGCCUGCCAGUGCUUUGAUCUUCACACCGCUGCCAAGGGGGACAAGCAAUUUCCUGAGCUCUUCUCAGAGGAAGGUUCCUGUAAAUGCAUGUUCCAUGUCAGCACGCAGGUAUCCAAGGAGCCUACCCACAUGAACACAAAUCUAUUUAAUUUGGUUAAUGCUGCUGAUAAACAGAUUCUGCUCAUAAAACUCCAUCACCCGGGAGGAAAGGGUGCAUGUCAAAGAAACCCUCUACGUUUGCAGUUUCACCUCUGUAGCCGCACCCUUGAGAGGCAAAGGACAACUUCCAUCAGAAUUUCCACUAGUUGUUGCCUAAGAAUGUAAGCUACUGUAUGUGAGUCAGCCAUGUCAGGUUUCUGAGCAGUAAUGUUGAUAAGAUAUAUAAUGCUCCCACCCCUGACUCCCUGUCCUUCUGGCGACUGCCAUGGAAAAACAUUCUCAUCUAACAGGAAUGUAAUUCACUCUAUAGUGACGGAAAAUACUACUAAGAACAGGUUUUCUCUGUGAAAUAUUAAAUUAACUGGUAUCCUGAAAUGCAACAUUCUUCUAAAACAAAGUGAUGAAUUUGUCUGACGUCUCUAAUUUGGGGAAACUACAGUAAACUACUGGGCAAAUGUUAGAGUUUCGAGUAGCAUAUACCCCCCCCCCCCUUAAAAGAUUUAGAUGCACUAUUGUAAAGUGGCUGUUCCACUGGAUGUCAUAAGGUGAAUGCACCAAUUUGUAAGUCGCUCUGGAUAAGAGCGUCUGCUAAAUGACUUAAAUGUAAAUGUAAUGUAAUGCAUAUGUCAGAAGCACAAGCACGGAAAUCUAAAGCCCUGUGAUAGCUGAUAGAUAGAGGGGUGGGGGGGACAGGUACAGGUGACGACGCUCAAGUGAUGUUUCCUCUUUGAGAUGCCUCUAUUCAUAUCCUGCUGCCAAAUAGACAAAGGGGGGCGGUUUUCAGUCUUAUGUUUGUUAUUCCUGUUGCAAUAUUCAAUAGCUGCCACCGUCCCCCUGUUGUGGUACUUACUACCUUUCCACGGCCACCUCUCUGGUUAUGCAUCUUUUCACAUCCUCUUCGAAGAUAACAUUCAUAAAUGAGAUGAAUCUACUUAAUUGCCAACAGUUGUCUCCUCCACACCUUUUCUCUGAUAAGAUUUUAUAUGGACAAAAAUAUGCUGUACCUUUACUGUAACUUAUCUGAGCAAUAAUACAUAUUCAAACUUGUAUCAAUAGUACUGAAGACUUGCCUGGGUUAAAGAAUUUAAGAGAGACACCCAUCUGCAAGCAGCAGAUGUUUAAAUGAUUCAUGAGAUAGAACUGGCGGCCUUUUUUUCAUUGAAUGAAAGGGUCUAUUAGUACUGUAAAUAUACAUAGGCAAGCCAUCCCCCAGUAAACACAACACAGUGUACCCAAGGUGGAUGAUGCAGGUGGAACCUGUGCAGUGUUCUAAAUUCUGAAGAAAGAAUGCUGUAGAAGAUUCCUGGGGCGGUUGAGUAAUGUUGUCAGACCAGCCUGUCUGCUCUGAGCCAUGCAUACCCUCAGUUCUAUGACUCCCACACCUCAGCAGGUUACCAGGCCCGAUCCACUGGCUCAGAGCAGCCUGGCUACCUACCCAGCAUUCCUCUGGCUUUAGUCAAAGGAUUCCAGCAUGGUGCAGGGAAAGUUGCUGUAGAGGUCCCACACGUCUUACUGGAGGAUUCAAACAUUUCUGAGUCAAGCAUCAAAACAAAAAGAGACUUAACUCUGAGGAAUGUUUCACGGUGAUGGGGGACUCUAAUAUACUUUGAAGGAGACACUAGUGCAGAGACAGUCGUGAGAGAGAACCACUCAAUGUUGGCCUACAAUCAGCCAUGUGCAUUCAUAGCCCUAAGGAGAAAUACAAGCUUGUGCACAUUCUUUCUUGAAAUGUGUUUUUGUCUGGUUGAAAUGCCAAGCAUGACACAUCAUAUAUAAGCUUAUUUAGCUGUUUGUGUCCCUUGAAGAUAAAAAGUACUUAGCUUAUUUGAAUGCUUGUUUUGUCUAUUUACUCAUCCAUAAAUCCAUAACAUUUCAGUGUGAUUAAUCAUGACUGUGUGAGGAUUUAAGAUUGACAUAACUUAAAUAAAUUAGACUGGUGAAAACAAGUAUUAUUCUUGAGAUUUGAGUACUGUAACUGGAAUGUGAAAGGUCACCAUGAUCACCUGACUGAAACGCAUGCUCUUUAUUCUCCAGUUGAGAGGAGAUACUGUCUGUGUGUGUUCGCGCACGCAUAGUGUAUUCGUUUUUACAAUGGCCUUGUUGUGUUUCAAUGAAGUCAUGAAAGUUCCUUAUCUGAUAUCAGCACAUAACAUACCUUUCUGAGACGGCGGGAUUGUGAAAGGAAAAAGCAUCCAUUUAUGUCUUGUAGAUAUCAUUGGUCUGUCUUCUCACCAAUUCUAUUCAUCAGUUGUCAUGCUUCCCUUAGUUCUGCUAUUUGUAACGUCCCAAAGCCAUUGGUCAAAAUAAAUGCCAAUUCCAGAACCAUUUA